rnacentral:rRNA from 1 species
ACAGUUUGAUCCUGGCUCAGGACGAACGCUGGCGGCGUGCUUAACACAUGCAAGUCGAACGAUGAAGCCCUUCGGGGUGGAUUAGUGGCGAACGGGUGAGGAACACGUGAAGAAUCUGCCCUCCACUUUGGGAUAACUCCGGGAAACCGGGGCUAAUACCGAAUAUUGAAACAUAAGUGGCAUCACUGAGUUUUGAAAGAAUUUCNGUGGAGGAUGACUUCGCGGCCUAUCAGCUUGUUGGUGAGGUAAUGGCUCACCAAGGCGACGACGGGUAGCCGGCCUGAGAGGGCGACCGGCCACACUGGGACUGAGACACNGCCCAGACUCCUACGGGAGGCAGCAGUGGGGAAUAUUGGGCAAUGGACGCAAGUCUGACCCAGCGACGCCGCGUGCGGGAUGAAGGCCUUNGGGUUGUAAACCGCUUUCAGCAGGGAANAAGCNAAAGUGACGGUACCUGCAUUAUUGGGCGUAAAGAGCUCGUAGGUCGUUAGUUACGUCGGGUGUGAAAAUCUGGGGCUCAACCCCAGACCUGCACUCGAUACGGGCUAGCUAGAGUUUGGUAGGGGAGACUGGAAUUCCUGGUGUAGCGGUGGAAUGCGCAGACAUCAGGAGGAACACCAAUGGCGAAGGCAGGUCUCUGGGCCAAUACUGACACUGAGGAGCGAAAGCGCGGGGAGCGAACAGGAUUAGAUACCCUGGUAGUCCGCGCCGUAAACGAUGGGCGCUAGUUGUGGGGACCUUCCACGGUUUCUGCGACGCAGCUAACGCAUUAAGCGCCCCGCCUGGGGAGUACGAUCGCAAGAUUAAAACUCAAAGGAAUUGACGGGGCCCCGCACAAGCAGCGGAGCAUGCGGCUUAAUUCGACGCAACGCGAAGAACCUUACCAAGGCUUGACAUAUACCGAAAAGCAGCAGAGAUGUUGUGUCCGCAAGGGCGGUAUACAGGUGGUGCAUGGUUGUCGUCAGCUCGUGUCGUGAGAUGUUGGGUUAAGUCCCGCAACGAGCGCAACCCUCGUUCUGUGUUGCCAGCAUUUAGUUGGGGACUCACAGGAGACUGCCGUGGUCAACACGGAGGAAGGUGGGGAUGACGUCAAAUCAUCAUGCCCCUUAUGUCUUGGGCUGCACGCAUGCUACAAUGGCAGGUACAAAGGGCUGCGAUACCGUAAGGUGGAGCGAAUCCCAAAAAGUCUGUCUCAGUUCGGAUUGAGGUCUGCAACUCGACCUCAUGAAGUCGGAGUUGCUAGUAAUCGUAGAUCAGCAACGCUACGGUGAAUACGUUCCCGGGGCUUGUACACACCGCCCGUCACGUCACGAAAGUCGGUAACACCCAAAGUCAGUGGCCCAACCGCAAGGAGGGAGCUGCCUAAGGUGGGAUCGGUGAUUGGGACGAAGUCGUAACAAGGUA